rnacentral:rRNA from 1 species
UACAGAGGCCUCGAGCGUUAGGCGGAAUCACUGGGCUUAAAGCGUGUGUAGGCGGAUGCCUAAGUGCUUUGUGAAAGCCCCGGGCUCAACCUGGGAAUGGCAAUGGAAACUGGCGAGCUUGAGUGUGGCAGAGGGGGGUGGAAUUCCGCGCGUAGCAGUGAAAUGCGUAGAGAUGCGGAGGAACACCGAUGGCGAAGGCAGCCCCCUGGGCCAACACUGACGCUCAGGCACGAAAGCGUGGGGAGCAAACAGG